ACCCAUGGUGCCGCCGUUGAUAUGAUAAACGCCCAUUGUUACGAUGGUUCUUAUUAUUCCAUGCAAUCAAAUGAACUUUUGAGAAAGAUGAAUGUAAGGUUUUCGGAGCUAAUCUCGAGCAAUCACAGAAGGUUUCUAUAGAAUAGCGGGAGUCAACAGAGUGGGAUUAUCGGUUAUGACGUCACGUGUAAUAGUAACACUAUUUACUGGGAAUUCCAGUAGAGUGAAUAGUGGUAAACUGUGCCAGCUGCAUUUGGUUCAAGGUUCGUACAGGUUCAAAUCGACAAUCCCCACAGACAUUCCAUACUUUGCAGUGCUGUUCUUGGGCAUGUGGAUAUGAAAUUUCCGCAGCCACCACGGAGAUUGUGGCCUGGGUAGUAUCGGUGACUACUCUUAUUUUGUCUUCAAUAGAAUCAUCAACAAAUUGAAAACACUUUUCCUCUUCAGCGAGCUGCGGUGAUCGAGAUUCCCUUGCCUACGAUUAUAGGAUCCGAAUGGACGAGCUAACCGAGACUAGCUGUGGCGUACACUGUCUUUAUAGCUGUGUUCUUUUGCCUGAAAAUAGGAAGCGUUCUUGCCUGAAAACUUCCCUUCUCUCAAUCAGCUUCCUGUCGGAAAUAUCGCGCAUGUGAAUGGACCGAUCAGUUAGAAUGUGAUUCAACUUCCAGUUGGUUUCAUAUAUUAUACCGCAAGCAUAAAGUACUGAUCAACCAGUGUUUUUAAUAAUUGAAAUAAAAAACACUGUUUUGGUGUCCAAGAUUACGACUUUAUAAAAGUUCAUCAUCUUCAUGACAUCAGGUAUCGCUGAAAAUCGGAUCCUCUGAAAGAGAAGUCCCAUUUCGUCGUUGGGUUGCCAACAUAAUUAGAUCGUAAUCCCUUAUCGUAAUUGGAGUGAAUUCUCAUACAAUAAACUUUGUGAUAAUGGAGUUUAACGUCAAUACAGCAAUGUAUCGAAUCUCGAAACUCUGUAUCAUCAUAAUGAUUGUCGUGUUUAUUGUCUUCUGUACUUCAUCUGGAGGAGAGAGGAUCGUUCAACAACGAGCCGGUGAAUGCGUGACGUGUAAUGAGAACGAAGUCUGGAUGGAAAAGAUCAAAUCAAUGGAAAGAAGAGCAAACUUUCUUGAAAGAAGGUACACCCGAAUGGACGAAUCGCUGAACAGGCUUGAGGGAUGUCUUAAUUGCGAGAGAUGAUGAUUAUCUUUUUAUCGUGACGUCAUCAUUUACGUAUACAAACAGUAUUCAUGAUGGUAUUUGUCACCUGAGGUUUCUCGGAACUGCAGCCCGACUCUGAAAAUUGUUUCUGGAAACUAUACUAUCAUCAUAAUAAUCAUGAAUUAUUGUCUUCUAUGUUCAGAAGAGAAAAGGGUUUUAUAUACAAUCCAAAACCUAAAUUUUACCUUUCCAUUUAAAAGAACCGGCGAGGGACAUUUUCCAAAUGUUAUAUUGACAGUUUUACCGUGGUAAAAAUCAGCAUUAAUUAUUUUGCUGAAGCACUCAGUCUUGAUGAAUCCAUCAAAGGUGCUGAUGUAACUUUAUCUAAAAUUUCACAUUUCCCUUCGUCUUUUUACAUGGUGAUUAAAAUUCAAGCUUAUAGAGUUAUAACAUAUGUUUUGUUUUUAAGAUUUUCAGAGUUAUGAACAGGUCUAUUUCGGUGAAUUAUAUAAACUUGAUAUAUUACAUUAAUUUGAGAAAUAAAAACAGAACAAGAUUUUAUCAUUCUAUAAGGUAUAUUUCAAUCAGGGGCGGAUCCAGGAUUUUCCAAAAGGGGGCACAUUUUACCGAGGAAAAAUUUAAGAAGCGCAAAAAAAACACAGAUUUUUAACCCAAAAUUAAGGAAAUUUCGUCCCAGAAAAAAUUUAACAAGCAAAAAAAAAGUCAUCACGUUCAAAAGGGGGGGGGGGCACACUUCUGUUUCAACGGCAUUUUUACAUUACAAAUUUUAAUUUUGCUUCUCAAAGAUCCGCCAGUGAUUUCAAUAAUAAAAAUAUAUAUUUCAUUUCGAUUUCGAGCAAUGAAUUUUGAAUUUUCUAUUAAUAUGAGACUGAAAUAUUGAGACUAAAAAUAUGUGGUGUUUUCCAUUUUCUAGAGUUGUCCUGGAAUUAAAAAAAAAUGCAGUAUAUUGGAAAUUCCAAUUCAAUCAAACCUGUAAUGUUUCUCUUUUCUCUUUUUAAAAGUACGCUUUUUAGGGACGUUAUUACUGUAAUUCAUGAUUAACUUGAGAAUCCCCAUGCAUAGAAAGUACAACAAGACUUUUUAAACGUCCAUAACUUGCUUAUUUCAUAACCGAUUUUGAUGAAACUUGUGUUAGAUUGUUUCCUCUCAUUUUACUCUUUCUAAUAAGAGUGCUCUUCUUGGGUUUUCGUUUCCUCUAAGGAUGCUUCGGGCUGAAAAUAUUUAUAUCUAAAUAA